GAUGAACGCUGGCGGCGUGCCUAAUACAUGCAAGUCGAGCGAACGGACGAGAAGCUUGCUUCUCUGAUGUUAGCGGCGGACGGGUGAGUAACACGUGGAUAACCUACCUAUAAGACUGGGAUAACUUCGGGAAACCGGAGCUAAUACCGGAUAAUAUUUUGAACCGCAUGGUUCAAAAGUGAAAGACGGUCUUGCUGUCACUUAUAGAUGGAUCCGCGCUGCAUUAGCUAGUUGGUAAGGUAACGGCUUACCAAGGCAACGAUGCGUAGCCGACCUGAGAGGGUGAUCGGCCACACUGGAACUGAGACACGGUCCAGACUCCUACGGGAGGCAGCAGUAGGGAAUCUUCCGCAAUGGGCGAAAGCCUGACGGAGCAACGCCGCGUGAGUGAUGAAGGUCUUCGGAUCGUAAAACUCUGUUAUUAGGGAAGAACAUAUGUGUAAGUAACUGUGCACAUCUUGACGGUACCCAAUCAGAAAGCCACGGCUAACUACGUG
rnacentral:rRNA from 1 species